rnacentral:rRNA from 1 species
AACCUGGUUGAUCCUGCCAGUAGUCAUCUGCUUGUUAUAAAGAUUAAGCCAUGCAUGUCCAAGUAUAAUAGUAUUCUAUCUUGAAACUGCGAACGGCUCAUUAAAUCAGUUAUAGUUUAUUUGAUGGUACCUUACUACAUGGAUACCUGUGGUAAUUCUCGAGCUAAUACAUGCGUAAAGGCCCGACUCGUGAGGGGAGGGUUGUAUUUAUUAGAUAAAAAACCAAUACGCAGCAAUGCGGUCUUUUGGUGAUUCAUAAUAACUGUGCGAAUCGCAUGGCGCAAGCCGGCGAUAGUUCAUUCAAAUUUCUGCCCUAUCAGCUUUCGACGGUAGUGUAUUGGACUACCGUGGCAUUAACGGGUAACGGAGAAUUAGGGUUCGAUUCCGGAGAGGGAGCCUAGAGAAACGGCUACCACAUCCAAGGAAGGCAGCAGGCGCGCAAAUUACCCAAUCCUGACACGGGGAAGUAGUGACAUGAAAUAACAAUGCUGGGCUCUCACGACGCUCUGUAAUUGGAAUGAGUACAAUUUAAAUCCCUAACCAGGAUCAAUUGGAAGGCAAGUCUGGUGCCAGCAGCCGCGGUAAUUCCAGCUCCAAUAGCGUAUAUUAUAGUUGUUGCGGUUAAAAAGCUCGUAGUUGAAUUUCUGAUCGGACUUGACCGACCCUGCGUCGAAAGACGUGGUGUGUUGGCGCAAGCCGGUCGUACUCCUUCUAGAGAGGCAGCGUCUUACCCUUCACUGGGCGAGGCGUAUGUGCUCUAGAUCUUUUACUUUGAAAAAAUUAGAGUGUUUAAAGCAGGCUUGUGCUGUGAAUACAUUAGCAUGGAAUAAUAAUUUAGGACUUUUUACCUAUUUUGUUGGUUUCUAGGUUUUAAGUAAUGAUUGAUAGGGAUAGUUGGGGGUGCUAGUAUUCAGCGGCCAGAGGUGAAAUUCUUGGAUUCGCUGAAGACUAACUAAUGCGAAAGCAUUCACCAAGGAUGUCUUCUUUAAUCAAGAACGAAAGUUGAGGGAUCGAAGACGAUCAGAUACCGUCGUAGUCUCAACUAUAAACUAUACCAACUAGGGAUCAGUGGAAGUUGAUUUAUCGACUCCAUUGGCACCUUAUGAGAAAUCAAAGUCUUUGGGUUCCGGGGAGAGUAUGGUCGCAAGGCUGAAACUUAAAGGAAUUGACGGAAGGGCACCACCAGGAGUGGAGCCUGCGGCUUAAUUUGACUCAACACGGGGAAACUUACCAGGUCCGGACAUAUGGAGGAUUGACAGAUUGAAGUUCUUUCUUGAUUCUAUGGGUGGUGGUGCAUGCCCGUUCUUAGUUGGUGGAGUGAUUUGUCUGGUUUAUUCCGUUAACGAACGAGACCUCGACCUGCUAAAUAGUCCGGCGUGUUUUCGGACACGUACGUGACUUCUUAGAGGGACUGUCGGUUUUUAGCCGAAGGAAGCUCGAGGCAAUAACAGGUCUGUGAUGCCCUUAGAUGUUCUGGGCCGCACGCGCGCUACACUGAUACGUUCAUCGAGCUUAUUACCUGGACUGAGAGGUCUGGGCAAUCUUUUCAAUGCGUAUCGUGCUGGGGAUAGAUUAUUGUAAUUAUUAAUCUUCAACGAGGAAUUCCUAGUAAACGCGAGUCAUCAGCUCGCAUUGAUUACGUCCCUGCCCUUUGUACACACCGCCCGUCGCUGCUACCGAUUGAACGGAUUAGUAAGCUUCACGGAUCGCUGCACGAGAGAGGCAACUUUCCCGUGUGGUGAAAAGUGACGCACACUUGCUCGUUUAGAGGAAGCAAAAGUCGUAACAAGGUAUCCGUAGGUGAACCUGCAGAAGGAUC